rnacentral:rRNA from 1 species
UACGUAGGGUGCAAGCGUUAAUCGGAAUUACUGGGCGUAAAGCGUGCGCAGGCGGUUUUGUAAGUCAGAUGUGAAAUCCCCGGGCUUAACCUGGGAACUGCGUUUGAAACUACAAGGCUAGAGUGUGGCAGAGGGGGGUGGAAUUCCACGUGUAGCAGUGAAAUGCGUAGAGAUGUGGAGGAAUACCGAUGGCGAAGGCAGCCCCCUGGGCUAACACUGACGCUCAUGCACGAAAGCGUGGGGAGCAAACAGG